UAUUUAGUAAUAGUUGUUUUAUUAAAAGUUGGAUUUCUGAUUUAAAAGUUUCCGAUAAAAAUAAAAAAUAAUAAAUUUAGAGAGUGAUUUGUUCGGGGCUUAGUCCCCCACUUGUACCUAAACACUAUGUAGAGAGUUUGGAAACAGCAAUUCUCGAUUUUGGAGAAUAAGCAGGUAUAAGUUGGAAUAGGCUUGAAACUGUUGUUUCAGUCCUUUUGGGUAGCGUUUGGUUUGGGAACAAGAGGGGGAAUAAGCUCUUGUUCCCCCCUUUGUUCUCAAACGGUAUGUUUGGUUUCCGGAAACAGUAAUUCCCGGGAAUCUGGAACAAGCUCGUAUAAGGCUAGAACUGCUGUUCCACCUGUUUCCUGAAACAAGCUUGUUCCUUGAUGAGAGCAAGGUUAAUUAAAAUCGAAAUUUAAUUUUAAUGACAACAAAUUAUUAAUUAAUCUAAUUAAUAUAUUUAAAUCAUUAUUUAUUGCUUUAAUAAUUAAAUAAUUUAUUUAUUUAUUAUUUAUAAUUAAUUAUUAAUAAUUAAUAAUAUUCAUGAUUAUUUAUUAAUAAUUAUUAAUAAUUAUUAUUCUUAAUGAUAAUCGAUAUUAUUAUUAAUUUGUUAUUUAUAAUUAAUAAUUAAUUAUUAUUAUUAUUAUUAUUAUUAUUAUUAUUUAUUAAUCAUUAUUAAUUAAUUAUUAUUAUUCUUAAUAAUUAGAUAAUCGAUAUUAUUAUUAAUUUAUUAUUAUUAAUUAAUUANUUAUUAAUAAUUAUUAUUCUUAAUAAUUAGAUAAUCGAUAUUAUUAUUAAUUUAUUAUUUAUAAAUAAUUAUUAAUAAUUAUUAUUAUUUAUUAAUAAAUAUUAAUAUUAAUUAUUAUUAAUAAUUAGAGAAUAAAUAUUAUUAUUACUUUAUUAUUUAUAAUUAAUUAAUAAGAAUAAUUACUAAUUACUAUUAUUUAUUAAAAAUAAUUAUUAAUAAUAAUUAUUAUUAUUAAUUAGAUAUUCAAUAUUAUUAAUUAAUUAUUUGUAAUUAAUUAUUAAUAAUCAUUAAUAAUAAUUAUUAUUUAUAAUUAAUUAUUAAUAAUUAAUUUCUUAUUUAUUUUUACCUAAUAUUUUGAUGUUAACUAAUUACAUAAUAUAAUUUUAAUUUCAAAUUAUAACUCUUAUUCCUCUAGUUCCAAUCUAACCAUCCAAACACUAUUUACCUUAUUCCUAUGAACAACUCAAUUUUUAUCCAAACGCAAAAUUGGUCUAGUUCCUGCUUAUACCUGAACUUGGACCUAUCUCUGGAACUAGCAGUUCUUACUUAUACCCGAACCAAACGCAGCCUUGGAGAACAAGUUUUUACAACUUGAGAAAAAAAUUAAUUAUAGUAAAAAUAUAAUUUUAAUUAUCAUAUUAUCUCUUUGAUUAAUCUAAUAUUUGAUCAAUCAAAUUAUUUUAUUAACUAAUUAUCUAGCUAUAUUUUAAUUAAUUAAUUAAUUAAUUACAUUGCCUUUGGUUAAUUAAAUUAUUAAUUAACAGCAUACCUUCUUAAUUAUUUAACUAAUUAAUAUUUAGGUUUAUGUUGCAGUAUUCAUUAUUAGUUAAUUAAAUAAGUUAAAUUAUUAUUUAAUUAAUAUUUCAUAUUAAUUAAUUAUAUAAUUUCUUAACUAAUUAUCUAGCUACAAUAAUUUACUAACUAAUUAAAAACAUAAGGCCAAUUUGCAUAAAAAAUUCAUUAGUUUUGAACUUUAGCAAAAGUAGGCUAUUUUUUUGGAUUUUACAGAUUCGGUCUGAAUUUUAAAAAAACUGACCAAAAUACCCUUAUUUCCUUUUCUCUCUCUCUCUUUUUCUUUCUUUUUUUUUUUCUUUCGUUCUUUUUUUCUUUCUCUUUGAAGAGUGCGGCGGAGGCGGAGGCGGAGGUCGAGGUGGAGGUGGAGGCCGACUACCUCACCUCUGUCCCGCGUGUCCUUACCCUCGCCUGCGCACCCUCCCUUCACCCUUCUCGCCUCCGACCCCAUCGAGGCCGCGCCACUACCCUCUUUUUUUUUUUUUUUUUUCUCUUCGACCCUUCUCCACCACCUCCCCAACUCUUUAAACCAGUAAAGAGGGCAGUAUUACAUCCUCUUCUUCUCCUUUUUUUCUUUCGUUUUUUUUUUUUCUCUUCACACUCUCCACUGCCUUCGCGACCCCCCACCACGGUAACGAGGACAACGCCGCAUUCUCUUCCUCCACCUUCGCCGGCGCAAACACCAAUGCUGAUGCC
rnacentral:lncRNA from 1 species